GACGAACGCUGGCGGCGUGCUUAACACAUGCAAGUCGAACGGAAAGGCCCUGCUUUUGUGGGGUGCUCGAGUGGCGAACGGGUGAGUAACACGUGAGUAACCUGCCCUUGACUUUGGGAUAACUUCAGGAAACUGGGGCUAAUACCGGAUAGGAGCUCCUGCUGCAUGGUGGGGGUUGGAAAGUUUCGGCGGUUGGGGAUGGGCUCGCGGCUUAUCAGCUUGUUGGUGGGGUAGUGGCUUACCAAGGCUUUGACGGGUAGCCGGCCUGAGAGGGUGACCGGCCACAUUGGGACUGAGAUACGGCCCAGACUCCUACGGGAGGCAGCAGUGGGGAAUAUUGCACAAUGGGCGGAAGCCUGAUGCAGCAACGCCGCGUGCGGGAUGACGGCCCUCGGGUUGUAAACCGCUUUCGCCUGUGACGAAGCGUGAGUGACGGUAAUGGGUAAAGAAGCACCGGCUAACUACGUG
rnacentral:rRNA from 1 species